UGCCUUUAUGUGUUGCCCAUUCAUUGUUUUCUACGGUGAAUGUGGUGUCAGCAAAGGCAUACAGCAUUUUCUUGGAUCGGCCUUAGCGAGGUUCCUCCCGAAUUGCCUUGUUCUAAGUUCUAUACCAAGUACAGUA
rnacentral:snoRNA from 1 species